GCGAGCCGCGCUGUGCGAGUGUCGGAGAUGGCGGGGCUUCAGCACCUCGGCCGUCCUGGGCCGCCGGACACCCCCGCUGGGGCCGAUGCCCAACAGUGACAUCGACUUGAGCAACCUGGAGCGGCUGGAGAAGUACCGGAGCUUCGACCGCUACCGGCGCCGGGCAGAGCAGGAGGCGCAGGCCCCGCACUGGUGGCGGACCUACCGAGAGUAUUUCGGGGAGAAGACAGAUCCCAAAGAGAAGAUUGAUAUUGGGCUGCCUCCACCCAAAGUCUCCCGGACCCAACAGCUACUGGAACGGAAACAGGCCAUCCGGGAGCUUCGGGCCAAUGUGGAAGAGGAGCGGGCUGCCCGCCUCCGCACAGUGUCCCGCUGGAUGCCGUGCGGGCCGAGUGGGAGAGGACCUGUGGCCCCUACCACAAGCAGCGUCUGGCUGAGUAUUACGGCCUCUACCGAGACCUGUUCCAUGGUGCCACCUUUGUGCCCCGAGUCCCCCUGCACGUGGCCUACGCUGUGGGUGAGGACGACCUGAUGCCCGUGUACUGUGGCAAUGAGGUGACUCCAACCGAGGUAACCACUCACUUGUGCCCCUCCUCCCUGCCCUGUGCAAACACAGACACAUCCCAUCUCAGUGUCACAGACACUCCUGGGUUUGGAAUUUUGUUGUUCUCUGUCUCUUUGAUUUCCUGGAAGACAACACCAUGACAAUUUCAAAGAAAAUAGAACA
rnacentral:sRNA from 1 species